AAGUCGUAACAAGGUUUCCGUAGGUGAACCUGCGGAAGGAUCAUUACCUAGAGUUGCGGGCUUUGCCUGCCAUCUCUUACCCAUGUCUUUUGAGUACCUUACGUUUCCUCGGCGGGUCCGCCCGCCGACUGGACAAUUUAAACCACUUGCAGUUGCAAUCAGCGUCUGAAAAACUUAAUAGUUACAA
rnacentral:misc_RNA from 1 species